CAGCCGUCUGGUGCUGUCUGAGAAUCACAGUCACACAGAAAAGUACAUGUUUGUCAAGUGUUUGUCAUCUGAUACAAAAAUUUUAGAUUUUUGACUUUUUUUUGCUAGUUUUUGAAGAAUACUGGUCAUUUUUAAAGAGGAUUUUUCUCUGUUGCGAGACAACACCACCAUAUAAGAGAUAAUGCUUGUACAAGCCUUCUUCUGAAAGCCUAUAACACAGUGGUUCCUAAAGUCAGUGCUAAAUAAUCCAUGCCCUGCAAAUGUUUGUGUUUUCCACACUAGCACAUCUGACCCAAAACAUAUGGAGUAAUUAUUAUUAUUGUUAGUUAUUAUGCGCUCAGUCAGGUGUGCUAGAUGAAGGAAAGUCCAAAAAAAACUGCUUUCACCUGCUCUUGAACUUUAAAAGCUUACCUUAAAGUAUGGAAAGUGCUCUUUCAUGAAGCUGUAGAUUUCACUGACUGGGAGGCUGCCUGUCUUACUGUUCUUCAGAGCCAUAGCAAUCAGGCAACUUGGGAAAAUGAAGAGAUGGUAGACUUUACAUUAGACACUGCUAUGUGAAAGAUAUUCCUAAUCUAGAUCAGAUAUGAAAUUUUAGGCCUUGUUCUCCUAGAGACAGCCGCUUACCUGUAGGAGUAAAUGGGUUUGGGGAAGGAUUUGGGUUGCAGGUCUUGGCUGUGUGGAGGGAUGCGCUGCUGGGGGAACAGGCCCUGGCUGUUAUAACCACCGUACAGUCCUCCAGGGGAACACUAGAGACAGCACAGAGACAGACUGUGUUAUAAUUUAUAUUUUCUGUGCUCAGUUUAACUGUUAAUUGGUUAAUCUACCAGUUCUAACAUUAAACCACCCUUUCUCAAAGUAUGAUGUACAAUAGCUCACAAGUGGCAAAACGUAGGGCUUAAUAAUUAGCAUAACUCAUAGUUAUGAUGCAGUACGCCACUAUACAUAGUUUAUCUUCUCAACACCUAAUUAUCUCUAAUGAUAAUGAUCUCCCGAAAUUGGUCUACGUUAGUCAAAGAGUAAGAAGGCAUUUUACAUAGCUUUUAAAAGCACUGAUUUUAAGAUAAACAUGAGCCAUUGACUCCAAUAUUCAGGUGUUCCUGAAGACCUAGAGGCUUGAUCAGGUUUAUCAGAUAGAUGAAAUAGAUGAAAUCAAACCCAGCCUUGCUUACAUCUCCAGAAUCAAGGAUGAGAAACCACGCAGAGCCAUUUCCCUCAAGGACUGGUCUGGUAUCGGUGCGCGUAAACAAUUGUUUAAUUAUCUCAAGUACCUGCUGGUUGGCCUGGGAAAAGGUCAGCACCUGCUGAGAGGAGGCCUGGUAAACGGAGGCAGGACAAGGGAACCCAGGAGAGAACUGAGGCAUCUGGGAAACACAACACAGCACUCACAUUAGCACAGGUAUGAAUCUGAACCCCAAAGCACACUGACACUCCAACAUUUUGUGCUUAAUCUCUAUCUGGCAUAUCUGCAGUAUACAGUCAUGGAUCAUGGACAGUAAUUCCCAAAAGAACAGAAAACCCACUGACUUGAAAAACACCUAUAAUAGAAGUCAGUGCGCAGUUGUCGGUGAGUUCCAGGUUUAUGUUCGUUUCCGUAAAAGGAAAUCGUCCAUAUUAUUGUCCGAGAUGAUCAACAGUUGGAUACUGAUGCACAGAUAGAGAUUAGAUUGAAAAAUGCUAGAGUGUUCCUUUAAAAGCAUGUUCGAUAUCCGUCAGGUCGCUGGGUGUUACUUACGCUGUUCAUUCCCAGCGGGCUGUGCUGCAUGUUGCUCUGCAGAUGGAUCAUGGAAGCUGCUCCUCCUGCUACCGUCAUAUUAUUCAUCUGGGCUGCUGUUCUGAGCGGAGACGUUGAAGUCGGGUCGUCCCGGGCCGAGCUGCUGUAGCCGGGGAACGUCCACUGAAGUCAGCCAGGACAGAGACUGGAGGUCACUGGGGAGCUCAUCUUUAUUCAGCUGGGAGGGGUCUGUGGUCAACAGCCUUCGGAGACAGAACACAGCGCCGCUUAGACCAACUGACACUUUCAAAUCAGCCGGGAUUAAAACAGCUGCUGGUAGAAAAGGCCUGUUAUCAGAUGUAAAUUAGCCAGUCAGCUAACUCUUUUGUCUCUUCAGAGUAAUGUUCCCCGACAAAAUAAACAUAAACUAAAAGCUUU